GAGAAUGCUGAGAAAAGAAGAGUAAGAAAUCCACCUCAUGUCCAGAGACUUCCGGAAGCUGAAAAGGAAGCAUGAGCGUAUUUCCCAACAUGGCCUUGGAGCAGCGGGAUUGAAUGGCAAAGCGGUGCCUUUAAAUUCCGACGGUCACACCCGUUAUCGUGUCAGACUGCUAGGAGGAAUCCGAAACCCAGGAAGGUUCCGGAAAUCAACGCAGCCGGUAAGGUCCGUACUGCAAGGUGCGGAUAAAUUAAAGUGGUAACACGGGACAGUUCCCCGUCUUUAAA
rnacentral:ncRNA from 1 species